rnacentral:rRNA from 1 species
AUGCAAUACGUUGAAGACCUCGGCAGCAAGGUCUGUUUUGCUUCUGUUGCCCAUCUUAGAAGUAACGGCCAAGCUGAGAGGGCGAAUGCGGAAGUGCCGCGGGGCCUCAAGACCAGGACUUUUGACAAGCUGCACAAGUGCGGAAGGCGUUGGAUUGAUGAGUUGCCAACUGUUCUUUGGUCAAUCAGGACGACACCAAAUCGAGCCACUGGCCAGACACCCUUUCCCCUGGUAUACGGGGCAGAAGUAGUUCUCCCCACUGAACUCAUAUAUGGGUCACCUCGAGUGCUCACUUAUGAUGAGCUUGAGCAAGAGCAAUUGCGCCAAGAUGAUGCGAUGCUCCUUGAGGAAGAUCGUCUUCGGGCUGUUGUGCAAGCUGCUCGACAUCAGCAAGCCUUGCGCCACUAUCAUAGCCGCAAGGUUCACACCCGAAGCCUUGAGGAAGGCGACCUUGUUCUUCGGCGGAUCCAAUCUCCCAAGAAUCCAAACAAGUUGACACCGAAGUGGGAAGGCCCUUAUCGGGUAAUACGAGUCACCAGGCCUGGCGCAGUCCGCCUGGAGACCGAAGAUGGCAUUUCGGUGAGCAACUCCUGGAAUAUUGAACAUCUUCACAAGUUUUAC